rnacentral:rRNA from 1 species
CGUUGAGAAGUUCGUUGUGCAAAUCAAUGUAUCUUGAGAAUUGAAUCUUAUUAAUUUGAUAGUGAUUGUAUAAUAAUUGAUAAUAAUAAAAUCAUUUUGAGAUUUCAUUAUUUUAGUAGAGUGAAUCGAAAAAAGUGUAUAAGAGUUAUAGAAUAAAGUACUGUAAAGGAAAGAUGAAAUAUAUUGAAAACUUAAUUUGUAUAAAGUAAAGUUAAAAACUUGUACCUUGUGUAUUAGGGAAAAUCAAAAUAAACUUAAUAAUAAAGAAAUCCCGAAAGAAAAAGAGCUAAUGUAAAUAUAUAGUUUUCGUCUUAAUGAAAUUAUAAAAUUUAUAUUAGUAGUGAAAUGCUAGCCGAUUUUUCAUAUCUGGUUGUUGGUGAAUUAAAUUAAAUUUAGUUAUUUUGUAGAUAUAAUAAAAUUAUAAAAUAAUAAAGAGUAGGAGGGAAAAGCUUCUUGUUCUAAAAUAGGUAAGUUAUGAUAAAAUGAAAAAGUAUUGUUGAAUUAGGCUUAAAAACAGCCAUAUU